AGAGGUACAACAAAGAAAGUGUUUUUCUUCUGUGUGCAUGUUUUGAGAAGCGUUCUUAUGAUUAUGGAAGAGUGAUCGAUUGGCCUUCUAUCUAUUGUUAAGGGUUAAUCAUUUGGAUGGUCAAAUGGGGAAACGACGUUGAUGGACGCAAAGGCCGUAUGCAUCAUACAUGCCACAGGUCGUAGUUCGAAGCUUUCUGCCCGAUGGUCAUAGGCUAUGACAAGUUAUACGCAAACCUUCGUCACCUCCAUCAAAAGUGAAGCGGGUAGUGCUGGCGAUACCAGCUGACACUGCAUAGAGUGACUCUUGUAGAACAAGUUAUCUGACAUGGUCUUUCAAAUUGGAGUCCUCCCCCGAAAUGGAAGCCAAGUUAGUGCUGGUGGUACUAGUUUCCCAUAGCAUAGAGUUACUCUUGUAUAACGAGUCAUCCCAGUUGGCAUGCAAGUGGGCUGAAUUUGAGCUCCAGUCCUUGCGAUGAAAUCCAAUAAUGCACGUGAGGCACGCUGUCUAAACAAUUGACUCCAAAAGUUUCCUUCCAAUUGAUGAUCCACAUAUAACAUUAAGUACUUCUGUUGCUAUUAUGAUCAGAGAAAAGCACCCCAUACAUUCCGUUGAUUUGGACAUGGACCCAGUAUAGUUAUGUAUAUCUGGCCAUCACAUGUUCCACCAAUAUUUCAACGCUGCGUAAUGUUUGUACAUAUCUCCCAGAAGAUGCUGUAGAGAUUGUCAUUUAUGUUUCGUUUAGUUUAGUUUAGUUUGUGAACUCUGAGUUAGAUAUAGAGUUGAUGAUGACGAAAGAUAUGCUUGUUUAUUUAUAUUUUUCGAAA